GACGAACCGUGCGAACGUUGUUCGGAUUCACUGGGCGUAAAGGGCGCGUAGGCGGGUCGCCAAGUCGGUGGUGAAAUCUUUCGGCCCAACCGGAAAAUCGCCUCCGAUACUGGCGGCCUCGAGGGGGGUAGGGGCAUGCGGAACUUCGGGUGGAGCGGUGAAAUGCGUAGAUAUCAGGAGGAACACCGGUGGCGAAGGCGGGUCUCUGGGCCGAUACUGACGCUGAGGAGCGAAAGCGUGGGGAGCGAACAGG
rnacentral:rRNA from 1 species